rnacentral:rRNA from 1 species
UGCAAGUCGAACGGUAACAGAACUAGCUUGCUAGUUGCUGACGAGUGGCGGACGGGUGAGUAAUACUUAGGGAUCUGCCUCUGUGUGGGGGAUAACUAUUGGAAACGAUAGCUAAUACCGCAUAACGUCUACGGACCAAAGAGGGCUUCGGCUCUCGCGCAGAGAGGAACCUAAGCGAGAUUAGCUUGUUGGUGAGGUAAAGGCUCACCAAGGCGACGAUCUCUAGCUGUUCUGAGAGGAAGAUCAGCCACACUGGAACUGAGACACGGUCCAGACUCCUACGGGAGGCAGCAGUGGGGAAUAUUGCACAAUGGGGGCAACCCUGAUGCAGCCAUGCCGCGUGUGUGAAGAAGGCCUUCGGGUUGUAAAGCACUUUCAGUUGUGAGGAAAGGUUAGUAGUUAAUACCUGCUAGCUGUGACGUUAACAACAGAAGAAGCACCGGCUAACUCCGUGCCAGCAGCCGCGGUAAUACGGAGGGUGCGAGCGUUAAUCGGAAUUACUGGGCGUAAAGCGCACGCAGGCGGUCUGUUAAGCUAGAUGUGAAAGCCCCGCGCUCAACGUGGGAGGGUCAUUUAGAACUGGCAGACUAGAGUCUUGGAGAGGGGAGUGGAAUUCCAGGUGUAGCGGUGAAAUGCGUAGAGAUCUGGAGGA